GUGGCUGUAGUGUAAUGGCAGCACGAUAGACUGUGGCUCUGUUAGAGAGGGUUCAAAUCCCUUCAGCCACCCCA
rnacentral:tRNA from 1 species